GCGCCGAUGGUGUAAGGCCCAUCGCUGCCUGGAAAGCAGAAGGUGCGGGUUCAAGUCCCGCCUGGUGCA
rnacentral:tRNA from 1 species